rnacentral:rRNA from 1 species
GAUGAACGCUGGCGGCGUGCCUAAUACAUGCAAGUCGAACGACGCGAGAACGGGGGAGUAACACGUGGAUAAACUCCUAUACGCAUGGGAUAACUUCGGGAAACCGGAGCUAAAGCGGAUACUUAUAGAUAGAUCCUCGCUGCAUUAGCUAGUGGGUAAGGGAACGGCUGACCAAGGCAACGAUGCCUAGCCGACCUGAGAGGGUGGUCGGCCACCUUGGAACUGAGACACGGUCCAGAAGCCUACGGGAGGCAGCAGUAGGGAAUCUGCCGCAAUGGGCGAAAGCCUGACGGAGCAACGCCGCGUGAGUGAUGAAGGUCUUCGGAUCGUAAACCUCUGUUAUUAGGGAAGCGGUACCUAAUCAGAAAGCCACGGCUAACUACGUGCCAGCAGCCGCGGUAAUAC